CCACCUCGAUGACUGACUCACCUGCUCACUGCCUGUGUUAACUACUCAUGAAAGGGAAGGCCCUUGAAUUCCGUGCACUGCCGACUUAAUCAUGAAGGAGAAAACAUCCCAUAGCAUUGCAGAGAGGUCACGUACUGGCAGGAACCGCCACACCUACUAAUCCUCACUUGUUAUGAGCAGGAGGCCCUGGAGCUGGAUAGGCACGAUGCACCUAGGUCAAGCAGCCGCUGUGAGGUUGGGGUGCCACUGGGAGGUGUCAGUGAAAGACCAAAUUGUCCAAAAACAUGUGAAUCAUCUAAGGAAUAGAGAGACAUUCCAGCAACCAGCUAUUCCGCCUGUGAUUAACGUCAAACCAUUAAUCCCUGAGGUGCCAGAUCGACCAAGAAUAGACAUACUUGAUGUCUCUGGAGAAUUGCCGAACCCUGAGCUGCUACUUUCUAAUGAGUACCUGAUGCUGCAGUUCUUGAUCACGUUAGUCCAGUGUGAGAACCUAAAGUGGUAGAGCUACGCCGCUCUAACCGAAUUAGAAAACCACCUUAGAGACUUCACCUUUAAUCACCUGACCUGCAUAUAUGUAUAUGUUGUAGAUUAAAAUGUUCUCUGUAAAUGGGAAAUAUAAAAAAAUAACUAAAGGGGGAGGAAAUGUAGUGAUU